CCUACGGGAGGCAGCAGUGGGGAAUUUUGGACAAUGGGCGCAAGCCUGAUCCAGCAAUGCCGCGUGAGUGAAGAAGGCCUUCGGGUUGUAAAGCUCUUUUGUCAGGGAAGAAACGGUCUACUCUAAUACAGUGGGCUAAUGACGGUACCUGAAGAAUAAGCACCGGCUAACUACGUGCCAGCAGCCGCGGUAAUACGUAGGGUGCAAGCGUUAAUCGGAAUUACUGGGCGUAAAGCGUGCGCAGGCGGUUAUAUAAGUCAGAUGUGAAAUCCCCGGGCUCAACCUGGGAACUGCAUUUGAGACUGUAUGGCUAGAGUGUGUCAGAGGGGGGUAGAAUUCCACGUGUAGCAGUGAAAUGCGUAGAUAUGUGGAGGAAUACCGAUGGCGAAGGCAGCCCCCUGGGGAUAACACUGACGCUCAUGCACGAAAGCGUGGGGAGCAAACAGGAUUAGAUACCCUGGUAGUCCACGCCCUAAACGAUGUCUACUAGUUGUCGGGACUUAAUUGUCUUGGUAACGCAGCUAACGCGUGAAGUAGACCGCCUGGGGAGUACGGUCGCAAGAUUAAAACGUCAAAGGAAUUGACGG
rnacentral:rRNA from 1 species